GAACAGCAGGUGCAGGUAUCAUCUUCUUUUUGGUUUGUUCUAGCUUCUUCAGUCGAUGCUACCUUGGUCCACCAAAGCAGUCAUGUAGAGAUAUCAAUGUAAAUAUUGAUAGACUUGUGACGUGUGAGAGGAGAGAACAAUAAGAAUGGCAGUAACAUAUGAACAGUAUGGUGUCUGGAAAGACCAAAUAUGAGAGAAUUAAAGUAAUC